UUAAAUAUCUUAAGUAUAUUUGUGCCAAAUUUGGUGCUUGUUUCACCAUUUGAACGAUUCCAUUGUAAAUAUUGUGUUAUCUGCUGCAGUU